rnacentral:rRNA from 1 species
AACAAACGCUGGCGGCGUGCAUAACACAUGCAAGUCUAACGGGAAAGUCGGCUUCGGCUGGCUAGUACCGUGGCGAACGGGUGAGUAACACGUGGGUAAUCUAACCUCGAGUUUGGGAUAACCCUGCGAAAGCGGGGCUAAUACCGAAUAAGACCACGCCCUGCACGCAGGGAGCGGUAAAAGGUGGCCUCUUCUUGAAAGCUAUCACUUGAGGAUGAGCCCGCGGCCUAUUAGCUAGUUGGUAGGGUAACGGCCUACCAAGGCGACGAUGGGUAGCCCGCCUGAGAGGGUGUACGGCCACACUGGCACUGAGAUACGGGCCAGACUCCUACGGGAGGUAGCAGUGGGGAAUUUUGCGCAAUGGGGGAAACCCUGACGCAGCAACGCCGCGUGAGUGAUGAAGGCCUUCGGGUCGUAAAGCUCUUUUAGUGGGGAAGAAGCCCUCCGGGAUUAAUACUCCCGGGGUCUGACGGUACCCACAGAAAAAGUUCCGGCUAACUACGUGCCAGCCGCCGCGGUAAAAC